UAACUCAUCAUCAGGAAGCCUGGUGGUUAC
rnacentral:piRNA from 1 species